GAUGAACGCUGGCGGCGUGCCUAAUACAUGCAAGUCGAGCGAACAGACGAGGAGCUUGCUCCUCUGACGUUAGCGGCGGACGGGUGAGUAACACGUGGAUAACCUACCUAUAAGACUGGGAUAACUUCGGGAAACCGGAGCUAAUACCGGAUAAUAUAUUGAACCGCAUGGUUCAAUAGUGAAAGACGGUUUUGCUGUCACUUAUAGAUGGAUCCGCGCCGCAUUAGCUAGUUGGUAAGGUAACGGCUUACCAAGGCAACGAUGCGUAGCCGACCUGAGAGGGUGAUCGGCCACACUGGAACUUAGACACGGUCCAGACUCCUACGGGAGGCAGCAGUAGGGAAUCUUCCGCAAUGGGCGAAAGCUUGACGGAGCAACGCCGCGUGAGUGAUGAAGGUCUUCGGAUCGUAAAACUCUGUUAUUAGGGAAGAACAAAUGUGUAAGUAACUAUGCACGUCUUGACGGUACCUAAUCAGAAAGCCACGGCUAACUACGUG
rnacentral:rRNA from 1 species